ensembl:lncRNA
GGGGAGUCUGGGGUCCGGCGAGUCAAAAUGACAUCACAUCUUAGAUCGCCCAUCUAACCCAAUCCGGCGUAGUGUCCCCGGGGGGCUGAGGCACAAGGGCCGUCUCUGCACACGCAGGUGACACCUAGAGCUGAUUCUUCGCCAUGGUCAUUGUGUAGGAGCCAUCUUGCAGAAAGAAGGUCCAGGCAGACGGCAGCAGGUUCUGCAGGGCUCACUGGGUUGCACGGUACAGCAGACGAAAAGGGUCGGGAAGCAGAGGAGCUUGUAUUUGCUGCUGGGGCCCGUUAAUCCUUUUUAUGCUAUUAAAAGAAAGACAGUAGUGCAACUCAAUUUAAGUUAGGACACGUGACUUCUUUUUAAAUCUCUUCUAACAGCCAUUGCUUUUCCUAUUUCAAUUUGGUUGGGCUAGCCAUGACAGAACGUGAUCCUUUGGGCAGAAGGUCUGGAAGCGUUUGGUCAUACUGGCCUAUGGAGUCAGUGUUUUCCAAAAAUCUUAGUAAAUCACCUGGGACACUUAUAAGAAUUCUGAUUCCCACACUAGAGCAACUGAAUAGGCUCUCGGAAGAGAAGAAAGGUUUUAAGGUAAGAAUCCAAUUUUUGAACCCCUCUCAAGAGCACCCAGUUGGAAAGAAGUACAAUAAAUCACUGCAUUGCAAUAGUGUAACGGUUCUGAGUAGUUGAUAAAAUCUAUACAAAGGCUACAUAGUAAUUUUUUAUUCAGAGUUAGAAUUGCUUUCUUGUUUCUGCAAUUUCAUCUCACAUGACAAGUUUUGAGACUAGAGGUUUCUGGGCCACAUAUCUCAGCCCAUUGUGGAUUCCUCCCUCUGCCCCUGCAGUCCAGUUUCUAUCUCUCCUUUUCAAAAUACUUGGCUCCAAGAAGUCCCUGGUUUCCAGACUGAAUGUUUAUGCAAUCACCAAAAAAAUUGUUUUUAAAAUUUUAAAGCAUGCUUUUACACUGGAACUUGGAGAUUCUUUAAAAUACAACUUUGAUCUUUACUUGAACACCAUUUGACAGCAAAAGGAUUAAGCAAUUGUGGGUUGUUCCAUUAUCCCUGCAGGAUACAUGAGAACUUCAAGGAAUUAUAUAUCACACGAAAGAAACUGCAUUUAAUGUGAUUGAAAGACACAGAGGUUAGAAGGUUAGAAAGCUGACUUUCUGGUUUAUGUCCCCAGGGCAUGAACUAAUCACAAUAUCUAUGCAACCUCAUGGAGAAACUGGGAGUAAUCUUUUGUUCCUCACCUGUUGCUUGCUUUGCCAUUAGGAAACCUCUCUUCCCUUUCCCAUUGGAACAGAUAGAACAGUCUGAUUAUUUGCAGCUAAGCAACUGAAACUUGCUUUCUAUGAGAAGUUCAAUAGAAUAACAUAUUUACCAUUUUUAGUUUAUUUUAUGCGGCUUAUGCAAGGUUAGGAGUUAAUCCAUGUUAUAAUUUUUGCUUAGGAGAAAGUAAAAUGUUUUGUUCUUAAAGUUAUUCAGCCUUUUGAAUAUUUUCUUUUUCUUAUUGAUUAAAUCACAUAUUCCUAAAAAUCAAAGGAUAUGUGAUAGGCUAGUAUCGUGAAACAGGUGGAGAAAUGAAAAUUCAAAGAAUGUUAACAUUUUUGUGUCAAGUAAGUGAAUGAGGCAUUAUGCAAAAGGUAUGAAAGACCCCAGAUCACAGGAUAGAAAAAGCUUCAUUUUUUUUU